rnacentral:rRNA from 1 species
GACGAACGCUGGCGGCGUGCCUAAUACAUGCAAGUCGAACGCUUCUUUCCUCCCGAGUGCUUGCACUCAAUUGGAAAGAGGAGUGGCGGACGGGUGAGUAACACGUGGGUAACCUACCCAUCAGAGGGGGAUAACACUUGGAAACAGGUGCUAAUACCGCAUAACAGUUUAUGCCGCAUGGCAUAAGAGUGAAAGGCGCUUUCGGGUGUCGUUGAUGGAUGGACCCGCGGUGCAUUAGCUAGUUGGUGAGGUAACGGCUCACCAAGGCCACGAUGCAUAGCCGACCUGAGAGGGUGAUCGGCCACACUGGGACUGAGACACGGCCCAGACUCCUACGGGAGGCAGCAGUAGGGAAUCUUCGGCAAUGGACGAAAGUCUGACCGAGCAACGCCGCGUGAGUGAAGAAGGUUUUCGGAUCGUAAAACUCUGUUGUUAGAGAAGAACAAGGACGUUAGUAACUGAACGUCCCCUGACGGUAUCUAACCAGAAAGCCACGGCUAACCACGUG